rfam:Trichobilharzia regenti genome assembly, scaffold: TRE_scaffold0051855
AUCCGGGCGACGAGUCCCGAAUGGGACGAAAUGCGCAUCCUGGAU